rnacentral:rRNA from 1 species
GACGAGCGCUGGCGGCGUGCUUAACACGUGCGAGUCGAGCGAGGAGGCCGAGCUUGCUAGGUGGAUUAGUGGCGAACGGGGGAGUAAUACGUGAGUAACCUACCUUUAACUCUGGGAUAAGCCUGGGAAACUGGGUCUAAUACCGGAUACGACCAAUCUCCGCAUGGGGUGUUGGUGGAAAGCGUUAUGUAGUGGUUAUAGAUGGGCUCACGGCCUAUCAGCUUGUUGGUGAGGUAACGGCUCACCAAGGCGACGACGGGUAGCCGGCCUGAGAGGGUGACCGGCCACACUGGGACUGAGACACGGCCCAGACUCCUACGGGAGGCAGCAGUGGGGAAUAUUGCACAAUGGGCGCAAGCCUGAUGCAGCGACGCCGCGUGAGGGAUGACGGCCUUCGGGUUGUAAACCUCUGUUAGCAGGGAAGAAGAGAAAUUGACGGUACCUGCAGAGAAAGCGCCGGCUAACUACGUGCCAGCAGCCGCGGUAAUACGUAGGGCGCGAGCGUUGUCCGGAAUUAUUGGGCGUAAAGAGCUUGUAGGCGGUUUGUCGCGUCUGCUGUGAAGGCCGGGGCUUAACCCCGUGUAUUGCAGUGGGUACGGGCAGACUAGAGUGCAGUAGGGGAGACUGGAACUCCUGGUGUGGCGGUGGAAUGCGCAGAUAUCAGGAAGAACACCGAUGGCGAAGGCAGGUCUCUGGGCUGUAACUGACGCUGAGAAGCGAAAGCAUGGGGAGCGAACAGGAUUAGAUACCCUGGUAGUCCAUGCCGUAAACGUUGGGCACUAGGUGUGGGGGACAUUCCACGUUUUCCGCGCCGUAGCUAACGCAUUAAGUGCCCCGCCUGGGGAGUACGGCCGCAAGGCUAAAACUCAAAGAAAUUGACGGGGGCCCGCACAAGCGGCGGAGCAUGCGGAUUAAUUCGAUGCAACGCGAAGAACCUUACCAAGGCUUGACAUAUACUGGACCGCAUCAGAGAUGGUGUUUCCCUUCGGGGCUGGUAUACAGGUGGUGCAUGGUUGUCGUCAGCUCGUGUCGUGAGAUGUUGGGUUAAGUCCCGCAACGAGCGCAACCCUCGUUCUAUGUUGCCAGCACGUUAUGGUGGGGACUCAUAGGAGACUGCCGGGGUCAACUCGGAGGAAGGUGGGGAUGACGUCAAAUCAUCAUGCCCCUUAUGUCUUGGGCUUCACGCAUGCUACAAUGGCCGGUACAGAGGGUUGCGAUACUGUGAGGUGGAGCUAAUCCCUAAAAGCCGGUCUCAGUUCGGAUUGGGGUCUGCAACUCGACCCCAUGAAGUCGGAGUCGCUAGUAAUCGCAGAUCAGCAACGCUGCGGUGAAUACGUUCCCGGGCCU